rnacentral:lncRNA from 1 species
CGACAAAUAUUUUGUUGCAAAGGUAUCCGGGAGAAACUUUUCAUAUCUACUCAGAUUCAGCACCCAUCAUCAAAGCCUUGCAUCUUAGGAGCUAUCAUUCAGUUUCGUUAACAGAUGAAGCUCGAACAAGAAUCACGGAUCUCCGAACUUUUCUUGAAAGUUCCAAGCAAUUUAGUUAUGGAUGGUCGUCAAGAUAUUCUAAAAAUGCUGUAGUUGCAGAUCGUUUGGCCAACUGGGGGCUUACUAGCAACAAACUCUCAUUUUGGUCCUCUGUAGAUGAAUUCUACCAAGUUGUACCUCCCGAUUGAUAAAUAAAUUCGCCUAAGGGCGUGUUUUCCCUCAAAAAAAGAACUGCAACGCGUUCGCACCAAAAUCACAAUUAAUUUAAUUAAUUUGCCUUUAAAAUUAAAAUAUAAUCAUUCUCACAAUAUUAUAUUAUAUAUAUUAUUAUAACAUUA